rnacentral:rRNA from 1 species
GACGAACGCUGGCGGCGUGCUUAACACAUGCAAGUCGAACGGAAAGGCCCUGCUUUUGUGGGGUGCUCGAGUGGCGAACGGGUGAGUAACACGUGAGUAACCUGCCCUUGACUUUGGGAUAACUUCAGGAAACUGGGGCUAAUACCGGAUAGGAGCUCCUGCUGCAUGGUGGUGGUUGGAAAGUUUCGGCGGUUGGGGAUGGACUCGCGGCUUAUCAGCUUGUUGGUGGGGUAGUGGCUUACCAAGGCUUUGACGGGUAGCCGGCCUGGGAGGGUGACCGGCCACAUUGGGACUGAGAUACGGCCCAGACUCCUACGGGAGGCAGCAGGGGGGAAUAUUGCACAAUGGGCGGAAGCCUGAUGCAGCAACGCCGCGUGCGGGAUGACGGCCUUCGGGUUGUAAACCGCUUUCGCCUGUGACGAAGCGUGAGUGACGGUAAUGGGUAAAGAAGCACCGGCUAACUACGUG